UGUGGCUUAAGCAGUGUUUAGCAUUAUUGGAGGUUUUUGAGAGUAAGUGCUGGGGAACCUACUACUCUAAAACUGGAUUGAAGAGGAGCCUGGGGGGCGGUAGAAGACAUUGCAUUGAUAGCCAGUAUUGUGUUUUGGCACUAUUUGUUUGGGCCAGUGAUAAGCCAGAAGGGUGAGACUAUAUGUGAUCUAUCUGGAGGGUCAAGUCACUAGAAGAACUUGAUCACCGCAAGGCCUGAAUGCCUAUCAGAAGGAAGUGACUGAAGGAGAAAGUCUUGCAAUGAACUGCUUAGUUGUGUGGGGCUCACUGACUGGCUAAUACUUACUGCAGUGGACAUGAGAAUGUUUCCAAGUGCAUCCAGGGUGCCUAAAUGCCAGAGGUUUUGUAUCUAGAGGACAACUUUCUGUAUCUUCAUAUUUAUUAAUAUUAUGGCACAGUGCUUCUGAAAUCCCUAUCCACUUCCUUGUAAACUAACUGACCUUGGAGCAAAGUACUUUAGAAACCAACUGAACCAAGAGAAGACAUUGCUGGAUACAUGAGCUCCCUCCUGCUGUCCCGUUUGUCAGAGUAUGCCACUAAGCUUGUGGCAUUGUUUUGGGGGCAUGGUUGACAGACUUUCAGGAAGGCCAGAAACAUACCCUGUGAAUUUUACAGGAGGCAGGAAUUUGGAAGUGAAAAUAUGAGAAAAAUGAAUUUGUGCUGGCAAGGAUUUGAUACUAAACAAACCAGUCACCAUAACUUAUGAAAAGUAGAGUUCUUUGGAUGGAAUGCCGCUACAGACUUCUCCGACUUAGCACUCUUUCAAGGCACCUAUUGAGGAAAGCUGGACCAGACUGAAGUGGGGUUUGAAAGACAAAAGACCAAAUAAUGGAUGCCAAAGACAGAAGUAGUCUUAUCAAACCAGAGUUCUCCUUAAAGUCAGACCAAGCGAUGAGUUUCAAGGUAAAAUGAAAAGGUUCAAUUUCAGGGCAACUGACCCAGCACCUUUGGAAUGACAAAUGUGGCAGUGAUAACCUUGUAUUGUAUUUGAGAACAGCAGCAGCUUGUAUUUCAAAUCUAAUGCUCGAGAUUUUCAAAUAUGUUAGGCUUGUAAUUGUGGGAUUGUCAAAAUAGUCUAAGGAAGAUGAACACUAAAACUGAGCACUUAACUCCCUUAAAACCUUUGAAAGUCCCAGUGGCCAGAUUUUCAAAAGCGCAACCAAAUGCUUCUGUUAUUCCUACAUUGCUUAAACUAGUGUUACCGAGAGAGAAUUUUUCCACAUUCAUUCAUCCUUGCCACGUUGCUCCUUCAGCCUUCCUCCUAAACUCACACAAGCAGAGGAGAAUUCCUUCACACUAAUUUAUAUUGUUGGUCUGUAUAUCUCAAGGUGAUGGCUCUGUUCAAGAAACUUAAAGGUCAAUACUCAAGUUCAGUUUUAUGGAAACUAUAGAAACUUCAGAGUAGCUUGGGCAGAAGAGGAGGGAAUGUUUUUCUCCAACUUUUGUUCAACAAAAAUAACCACAUCACAUUUUGUGACUUGUAUUUACUACAACCAUAAAAUAAUGGGAACCAUUCUGCAGAUAAGAUUAAUUAUAUUAAAUUGUACUUUAUUAUCUUUGACUAUACAUCUUUAGGAGAAAUCUACAUAUGAGAAAACAAAGGGAAAAAGAUGGAUAAACGCUAGUUAUUCUGACCUUUUUUACAGGCCCUUCCUGGUUCUAUAUUCUAUGUUGCAAUAAAAUUCCAUUUUAUACUGCAGCUGCAUGAUAGAAGUUGCUCUGAAUUCUUACAGUCCAAUAAUUGGACUGCUCACUAACACUAAAGUAUAGAUUUUUCUUUUAGAAAUUACUUUAAAAAAAACAGCAUCUAGCACACAGGGCAUCUAUAUUGAUCAGCCUGUUGUAGCAAAAAGUGGUUAAUUUAUAUGUUUAUAAAUUGAAAAGCACUUUCUAUGCCACUACUGAACAAAGUUGUGGCUCCAACUCUGUUUCCUUCAGUGAAGUGUCUUGAAGGCAAGAGUGCUCAGACUGAGUUCUAUUUUCAUCUGCCACUUCAACUCAGACUUCUUUCUAUAUAACCACCAUUAAAAAUGUCCGUGCCACUUUUACUAAAAUCUUCAUCCAUGCUUUCAUCUCCCCUCAUGAUGACCUUUUGAAAUGGAAAAGACAAAAAGAAUGUUAGGAAGAGGAAUUAUUUAAUGCCCCUCCACCCCCAAAAAAGUGAAGAGCUAAUGAGAGCUCAAUUUUUUAAGCCAUCUGAAAACAUUUUUGUUUUAGCUACAGUUCUUAGCAGUUAUCCCUAUUCUUCUCUGCAACUCUAUUGUAAGUAUAU